UGGUUCUGGCAUCGAUGAAGAACGCAGCGAAAUGCGAUAAGUAAUGUGAAUUGCAGAAUUCAGUGAAUCAUCGAAUCUUUGAACGCACAUUGCGCCCCUUGGUAUUCCGAGGGGCAUGCCUGUUCGAGCGUCAUUACAACCCUCAAGCAUUGCUUGGUAUUGGGCUCCGCUGUUCACCCAGCGGGCCUUAAAAUCAGUGGCGGUGCCAUCGAGGCCCUGAGCGUAGUAAAUAUCCUCGCUAUAGGGACCCGGUGGACGCUGGCCAUCAACCCCCAACUUUCUAAGUUUGACCUCGGAUCAGGUAGGGAUACCCGCUGA
rnacentral:misc_RNA from 1 species